rnacentral:misc_RNA from 1 species
UACGGAGGAUCCAAGCGUUAUCCGGAAUUAUUGGGCUUAAAGGGCGCGUAGGUGGAUGGUUAAGUCAGAGGUGAAAUCCUGCAGCUCAACUGUAGAAUUGCCUUUGAUACUGGCUAUCUUGAAUCAAUGUGAGGUGGGUAGAAUAUGUAGUGUAGCGGUGAAAUGCAUAGAUAUUACAUAGAAUACCAGUGGCGAAGGCAGAUCACUAACAUUGCAUUGACACUGAUGGACGAAAGCGUGGGGAGCAAACAGG